rnacentral:rRNA from 1 species
CCUCGAGUGGUCGGGACGAUUAUUGGGCCUAAAGCACCCGUAGCCGGUUUCGUAAGUCCUCUGUUAAAUCCAGUCGCUCAACGGCUGGCCUGCAGAGGAUACUGCGAGACUAGGAGGCGGGAGAGGCGGACGGUACUCCGCGUGUAGGGGUAAAAUCCUUUGAUCCGCGGAAGACCACCAGUGGCGAAGGCGGUCCGCCAGAACGCGCUCGACGGUGAGGGGUGAAAGCUGGGGGAGCGAACCGGAUUAGAUACCCGGGUAGUCCCAGCCGUAAACGAUGCGAGCUAGAUGAUUCGAUCGCAGUUCGCGAUCGAAGUGUCGCAGGGAAGCCGUUAAGCUCGCCGCCUGGGGAGUACGGUCGCAAGGCUGAAUUGCAGGAAGAGAGAUUUUUCUGCACAGUUCACUUAAAG